rnacentral:rRNA from 1 species
UAGGGAAUCUUCGGCAAUGGGGGGAACCCUGACCGAGCAACGCCGCGUGAGUGAAGAAGGUUUUCGGAUCGUAAAGCUCUGUUGUUAAGGAAGAACGUGUGUGAGAGUGGAAAGUUCACACAGUGACGGUACUUAACCAGAAAGUGACGGCUAAAUACGUGCCAGCAGCCGCGGUAAUACGUAUGUCACGAGCGUUAUCCGGAUUUAUUGGGCGUAAAGCGCGUCUAGGUGGUUAUAUAAGUCUGAUGUGAAAAUGCAGGGCUCAACUCUGUAUUGCGUUGGAAACUGUAUAACUAGAGUACUGGAGAGGUAAGCGGAACUACAAGUGUAGAGGUGAAAUUCGUAGAUAUUUGUAGGAAUGCCGAUGGGGAAGCCAGCUUACUGGACAGAUACUGACGCUGAAGCGCGAAAGCGUGGGUAGCAAACAGGAUUAGAUACCCUGGUAGUCCACGCUGUAAACGAUGAUUACUAGGUGUUGGGGGUCGAACCUCAGCGCCCAAGCAAACGCGAUAAGUAAUCCGCCUGGGGAGUACNNANNNGNNGUAUG